rnacentral:rRNA from 1 species
AUACGGAGGAUGCAAGCGUUAUCCGGAUUUAUUGGGUUUAAAGGGUGCGUAGGCGGAUGAUUAAGCGUGAGGUGAAAUGCCACUGCUCAACAGUGGAACUGCCUCGCGAACUGGUUGUCUUGAAUGCUCCUGCCGUGGGAGGAAUGUGUGGUGUAGCGGUGAAAUGCAUAGAGAUCACACAGAACACCGAUUGCGAAGGCAUCUCACGAAGGGGUGAUUGACGCUGAGGCACGAAAGCGUGGGGAUCAAACAGGAUUAGAUACCCUGGUAGUCCACGCAGUAAACGAUGAUAACUAACCGCUGGGUCGUAGUGAUUCAGUGGCCAAGCGAAAGCGAUAAGUUAUCCACCUGGGGAGUACGACCGCAAGGUUGAAACUCAAAGGAAUGGGCGGGG